CAAUCGACUGUAUAAAAACGCUUUCUACAAAACUGACUUCUAUAAAUUUCACCUAAUUUCGUAGGUAGACAUACCCUGAGAAGGGGACUGAACUGAGACUGUGUCUCAGUUGGGGUAAGUGAACUGAGUUUAAGAGUAAUGGGUCAGUGGGAGAGCUGCAGUCAUUGAGGACUCAAGUGAUGGCAGAGUGUCUCCAGGGAAGAAACCCUGGAUGUGCUGCUCCAUUCCAGAGCAGAAACCUUUGCCAGGUAGCCAGACCCCAAUGGAGGAUACUGUGAUGGGGCCUGUUGACAGACAGACUGACUAAGGACUGAGUCCAGGGAAGGCUACAGAGAUGUUGCCAACAGAAGGAUUUUGUGUUGGGCCCUGUUGGACUGUUAAUGGAUUGAGCUGUGGGGUGGUGGAGAAGGGGCUUCAGGACGUUGCUGAGGACAUUGAGAUAGUCUCAGUUGGACCAUAUACCCCAGAAGGAGUUCUUGGUUUUCACACACAGACUGUGUGUGACUGGGCUGGAAGGCUAAGUCACCAAAGACUCACCUGAUGAGUGCAGCAGCCACAGGGGACACCUUGAGCAGAGAAAUUGAGGAAAAAAACUGCAGGCACACAUACACUCCGCCAGGGGGUGCUCACCUGAGAUGAGUGCGCUCUGUAACACUACCUGUCAAAGUAGAAAAUGGCUGGUUUUGGAUUGAUGAUUUGAAUUUUUUUUACAUGGAAUCUAAAGCAGCACAUGGGUAGUCUAAGCUCACAAUUUACUUUAGAUAAGAGAAUUGUUUUCACAAAACUUAUGAAAAAAUUAUUAAACCUCUUGCUUUUCCUGUGUGUGUUUUCCCCCCCUCAGCACUUGCAAAACAAAUGAUAGAGCUUUGGUUUCUGUGGCAUGGGACUUGCCCCUAAACAAGAGAGUCUUAAUUUGUAUUCACAUUCAAUUCACUGUGAAUUAGGAUGUCUUGUUCUCCAUCCAAAAGAUUGAUUGUCAUGCCCCAGUAUACCAAGAAUAUUUGUUUUUGUUUUUUUCUUUUAGACUGAAUCUGCUAUAUAUAAACAUGACUGACUUUUAGUUUUGGUAUGAUUGUAGACAUUUCCUGCUGUUUAAGACUGGCUUUGUGUUCUUUUCCCUCUCCCCUUUCUAAUACCAGUAUUGACAACGACGACAACAAAUAGGAAAGAAUAGAGGGAUGUUCCUAGUUACUAUAGUAAUGAAGUAAACCAGUCUGAUUGCUCAAGAAUUACUACAGAUAGCAAUCUAAUAAUAAAAAGACACAUAUAUGAGAAACUAGGGACAUGAUGAAAUUUUUUAUAUAUAUGAUUUGUAAUUGAAGUUAUUUUUAGGGAAAGUUUUAUUUAUUUAUUUAUUUAUUUAUUUAGCCUUUUUAUUUUAGUAUUUUGCAAUUCAGUUAAUUCUUCAAAAAGAGCUUUUAAAAUGUGACUAUCAGAUGGAUCAAUGUGACACUGCUCCUUAGUCAAUCUAGAUUGUAUAUGAUUUCAGUUAUGCACCGUAUCCUGUGUCAUCUUGAUGCAUGAAUUGUGAGGAAGAGUAGUUAAGAAAUUUGGUUUCUUCCCUCUCUGGUUUCUAAGUUGGAAAACAUCUGGAACCUCCUACCUUAUUUAAAGCUGAACUUUUGUGUCGAGAUAUUGCAGCAAAUGUGUGUACCAGUAUAUCAUUAGUUCUGACUUAAUAGCUUUGGAAGAUCUAGCACAGUGUUGAUAUAAAGGUAUACAUGGAAGCUAUAUUUCAUUAUUAUCUUCCUCUAUCCUUCAAUAUAUUGUUUUUAUUGCUGCAAUUUAAUAAUGGCAUCCUUGGAACAGAUCUUCUGCAUUCCUGUAAGCUACCUGAUUUACUGUAGAAAUAAUAAUAAAGAACCAAGCAGGUCUUUCCAUUCUUCAAUACACAGGCAUUUUGACUGGUAUAUUUCCUACUUGUCAUCUGAUGGAGACAAUGGGUUUGCUAUCCCAGAAUCCUAAGCUUUGUCUCCUGCAUGAUAAAAUGAUACCAUUCUCUUCCCUUCCUCCAUUUCUUCCUCUCUCUGAGCAAAAACCAUUCAACUUGAAAGAAGGAACAAAAGGAUUUAAGAUUUCAGUGUUUAUAUUUCAAUUUGACUGGACAUAAGAAUGUCUAAUGGGGCCACCUGCAGCAAGAUGGACUCUAGAACCAUGAAUUUUUAACACUGUGUUGUGGGCUCCUUUUGGCCUUAAUGGUGUGGAGGGUUCCUUUCCCUUCUCUUAAACUGGGAUUCUCCCUCAGUAGCCCAGGAAGGCAAUAAUAAUUAGAGCUUUGUGGCCAGUCCAGCCAAAAAGCUCCAAGAGAUACUGGUUCAGCCUUCUUAGUUAGGAGUUACAGCACAGUGGUUCUCGACCCUUAGGGGUACGCAUAGGUCUUCUGGGUGUACAUUAAGUCAUCUAGAUAUUUGCCUACUUUUACAUCAGGCUACAUGAAAAGCACUAGUGAAGUCAGUACAAACCAAAAUUUCAUACAAAAAUGACUUGUUUAUAUUGCUCUAUAUACUAUACACUGAAAUGUAAGUACAAUUUUGUAUUUGAACAGAUUUAUUUUAUAAUCCUGGUAAAAACGAGAAAGUAAGCAAUUUUUCAGUACUAGUGUGUUGUGACACUUCUGUAUUUUUAUGUCUGAUUUUUGUAAGUCAGUAUUUUUUCAGUGAAGUGAAACUUUGGGAGUAUGCAAGACAAAUCAGACACUUGAAAGGGGUACAGUAGUCUGGAAAGGUUGAGAUCAUAAGAUCAAAGAAGGCAGCAACUGCUCUAUUCCUGGCUGUUGAGACACUGCAGCCCAUCAAGGAUGGCACUUGGUGGUUAUUGAAAUGCUUUCCUCUUAAUGGCUUGUGCUCUUCUUCUCAUGCAGCUAUUAAUUCUUAUUGUCCACUCGUGAUGACACAUUCUUCUUAAAAAAAGAGGAGUCCUUGUGGCACCUUGGAGACUAACAAAUUUUUUUGGGCAUAAGCUUUCGUGGGCUAGAACCCACUUCAUCUGAUGCAUGGAGUGGACAAUACAGGAGCAGGGGUAAAUACAUGUAUUCAUUUCAGCAUAGCUGUGCUACACCUUCCCCCAGUUUUUCAGAAGAGCUGCUAGACUCAUGAUUCUGCAUUUUCUCAGUCUGCUGCAUCUCUUUGGAUGCUUAAUAGGCAGAAUCUGAGGAAGAGGGACCGGGGUCAAAAUUGAGUUGACCCUGCUGGUGAUAAGUUUAUAGUUUGGAAAGUAUGGAGUACAAAAUAUUACAACUAGUUUGUUGCAGAGUUGGCAAUAGAAACCAGGAGAUCUCAAAUUCUAGCCCUUAGCUAGAACUAGAACUCCAGUGAUUACAAGGAUAAUAUCCCCUCUGGCAGCUCUUUCAAAACUCAAAAGGUUUGAAUCAAAAGUGAAAGUGAUUUUCUUUUGGAGGUCUUUGUCUUUUUUCUUGUCAGCACUCAAACUG